AGGGUGUGCAGAAAAAGGCUUAAGGACUUGAAGUCAAAACUAAAGAAGGCCCACGAAUCCCACCGCUUGAAGCUUCUGUGAUUGCAACUUGCAAGGCGGUGACACCAUGCCAUCCGCUCCCGCGGACGGGCAGAUGCCGGCCCCCGCGCCAAGCUGUUAACCCCUUUCAUAUAUUGUGGAUUUUUUUUAAAACCGCACUUGCAACUUUUCUCUACACCCAUUUUCCGUUCCCUGAUCUGCCGGUUGUUCUCAGUCAACUGCACAAAGUUUCCUUCCCAAGCGAAAUGCUAGCAUAUUAUUUUACCUUGCCAAGAGCCGUUCAAGUCUCGCCUGUAAAUGUGCAUAAGCGAAUGUAAACCCUCGUCAGAGGACCUGAGAUUUCCCUUCCACCUGUGCAGUUUGCUUUCCAUCGACUUCAUAGAUUUAUAUGGUUGACUUGUUUUACGAAAGGAAAUGUCUUCACGGCAGUUAAAAAAAAGUCUUUCUUGAAAUGGCAUGGUUUGGUAGAGGAUUAGAGGGUUACCAACUCGCUGAAAAUGAUGCGAUGUCGCAUCAAAGCUAACUUAUGCCUCUCUCUGCUCUUUACAUGUUCCCUUUUUUUUUUUAACGAAAAGCAUCACCAGUAGAGGUGGGUGCUGGAUGAUACUGCUGCCCUUGUACUUUGUUCUGUUGACCGUCUCUUCAUUUUCUGAAAUUAGCUGCACAUUAUUUGGCGAAGUUUUUUAUUAACUCUAUUUAGCCUUUUGUCGUGGAAGGUUAGAAAAUACUGACAAUUUUCAACAAUGUAGCCAACAUUCAACAGGUAAAAGGGAAAAUUUGCCUUGAAAAAUAAAUUAUAACCCCGACAAAACACAAUCUCGUGAGUGGCAGAUCCAUUACUCUUUGUCGACGAACAAGCUUUCCACACUCCAUCGGACGCCGUCCACCGUUGUCAGCCCUGCGUGGUUGUUCUUGGGCAAGCAGCGAAGAAGGUAAGGAAUGGUUCUCCAUAGAAAUCCGGAUCUGGCUGGAAGUCUGCAUCAAAAAUUGCCACAAACUCACAAUUGUUGACGGUUAUAGCAAAUUUAUAUAUGAAAGGGGUCUUCAAUGAAGAUCUGCUGGAUUCAAUGAGAUACCCGUAAGACUUGAUUAGUGGAGUCAUCAAGAACCUGGACUAUGAGCUUGUCAGAUGGCCAUGAAAGUGCACAUGCUGCUCCGAUGGAAAGCUUGUAGACCUGGUGAUAGAAAUCCAAAUAUAUCGUUUGAAGAUUUAAGUGUGACCAUCAGACAGCUUUCUUAUUAUUUACCAAUGAUCAGAUUUUCUUUAGUUUUCAAAGGUCUGCAUGCAUCUUCACUAUUGAUGUGCGUAUCCCUUCCCAGGUUUGCCAAUUGCCAAGAUACUUGCGCAUUGAAGUUGGUCAGUUGAACUGCUUUAUGUGUGGGAUGAUGCAGUUUUUUUGCUAUGAAUCUGUGCCCUGUGAAGUUGCUAAUUUUAGGUUAUAUUAACAUAGCUUUUUUUUUUUUUGGAGCAAAAUAUAUUAACAUAGCUUUGAAGUUGGAGGGAACUAUGAUCCUUGCCCUCUCAUAGUUUUUAAAAUAUCCAUGGAAUCUGGCUCUAGUGAUAUCAUUUUCCUCGUGUAAGAAGUUUAGCGGUUGAAGCAGGCACAUUUGGUAAUGUGUGCAUUGGCUUUAGGUGACUCGAGCCUGAUAUUCCUUUUAUACGGUUUAAUCCCAGUGAUUCUUGGCUUGUCGAACUGGAUACGGAUUGACAUGCCUUGCACUAUCUCUAUGAUGAAAACUGUUCCUAACUACACUGAUUAUGUGCCCCCGUUUGUUUUGAGAUUAUUAUUGUUGUUUUUAAUGUUUGUUGAUCUUUUUCUUGUUUUUAUCUCGCCGGGCUCCUCACUAAAUAUAAUGCAUGAAUGUGUUUGCCGCAACCACGAGAAGCAUGAUAAUUUAUUUCUUACAUUUCUUAACUAUAUUUUUUCCUGUUCAGUCUGAUGAAUAAUCUCAUAGAAAUUUUGCUGAUUGAAUAAUAUAUUGAUUUGAAUAAAAUUUUAAAUGAAAUAUUGUCGUUCUCUUAAAAUUGGCUGGACUUGCUAUAUUUAGAUAGAUAGAUGUAUUUUUAGCAAAAGACUAGCUGUAUGCGAAGCUGCCUUUUUGUCCUCUGCCACAAUUAGUACAUUAUUUAAGGAUUUGGCUGUUGGGUUAGAAGCGGUGUGUAUUGUUGGGUUUUGAAAAGAAAUUCAAUAGGCAAUAAUAGCUUACCAUCGGAAUUGUUUUUCUUGCACCGCUAGUUUUGGAAACACACGAUCUGUGUGUGAAUGCUGAAUAAAGCCAAUCAUAUUUUGGAAGCAUUAGGGGAAAAAUGAGAGAGAACUCUUCACUUGUGCGGAAGAAAAAAUUGGAAAAGACGAAGCACAGUUGACACGGCAAGUCAUCUUUUGGAAGCAUCAGGCAAGAGCUCAUAAUCAGGUAAAGAGAAGACGACGGGCCACUUAAGUUGUAAAAGCUCUACCUCCGGUGAUUCCAGCCGCCAAGCAAGCAAACGUCGUUGUACCAAAAUUGCCUCAAAUCACUCUUUGCAGGGAAUCACGCAAAUUAAUAUGGGUGAAAACUCCAAAUGGGCUUGUCCUGUCAGGUUAACACUCCAGAAUGGUGCAUUCGUGAUAUUGUGGACUAGGGUGUUCUGCUCCAACAUGCAAACUAGACUUCACUCGCACGACCAUUACAAAUGGUUCAGAAAAAUUAAGUAAUCAGAAAUCAUGUGCGUUUUAAUUGUAGUAUGAUAUAAUGCAAGAUUUUGUGAAGUCUAAAUCAAGAACAAUAAUUAUUCAUUCAUAUAAUCAUAUUUUCAGAA